AGCCUGAACCAGCCAAGUAGCGUGAAGGAUGACUGCCCUAUGGGUUGUAAACUUCUUUUAUAGGGGAAUAAAAUGAGCCACGUGUGGCUUUUUGUAUGUACCCUAUGAAUAAGGAUCGGCUAACUCCGUGCCAGCAGCCGCGGUAAUUGA
rnacentral:rRNA from 1 species